GGUAACCACUGGACUUCUAAAAGGCACAUCACUGCGAUCAGUAACGUUCCAAGAUGUGGCCAUCAACUUUUCCCAAGAAGAAUGGCGAUUCCUGAACCCUGCUCAGAGAAAAUUGUACACGGCGGUGAUGUCGGAGAAUUAUCAGAACCUGGUCUGGCUGGAGAGUGAAUCA